GACAGAGGGUGCAAACGUUGCUCGGAAUCACUGGGCGUAAAGGGCGCGUAGGCGGCCUUCUAAGUCGGACGUGAAAUCCCUCGGCUUAACCGAGGAACUGCGUCCGAUACUGAAAGGCUUGAAUCCGGGAGAGGGAUGUGGAAUUCCAGGUGUAGUGGUGAAAUGCGUAGAUAUCUGGAGGAACACCGGUGGCGAAGGCGGCAUCCUGGACCGGUAUUGACGCUGAGGCGCGAAAGCUAGGGGAGCAAACGGG
rnacentral:rRNA from 1 species